CUGAAACACUAAUUACCAUACAAUCUUCAAAGUUAAGCAAUGUUGAGCAUGAUCAGUACCUAGAUGGGUAACCACUUGGGAAUACCAGGUGUUGUAA